UUUAAACAAUGGCUUUGUUGUUUUUGCAUGUUACUCUAUAUUCAUGUACAUAUUUCUUUUUUCAAAAUAACAUGAAUGUGUAAUUGUUUUUUAAAAAAAGUAUUUAUUUCUACAUGACAAACUGGGUCCGCCUGGGCUCCUUGCCAUUGGUACUUGUUGCUGGGUCAUAUGGGGGUUGCGUUCAUUGAACGCCGCCUUUCCUUGUUGAUCUUGUUUAUCAUAUUUUACCUUCAUUGGUUUAAGACUAAAAUUCUUAUUAAAUACAUGCAUUCUUUUUAAGGGAUGUGCAUCAUGAAGAAUCAAUGGUAUCAGAACACAACAUCAUGGAAGGUCUUAUUGACAAGAUCUUGGAGGAUGUCCUUUGCCAGAUGCCUCGCCAGCACUAAAGUCUAUUCUUCAGUCAGAUGCUACAGUUACAAAUGACAGUGAAUGGUCAGAUUUAUACAAUUGUGAUGAACAAUCCUCAACAAUACAUCAAACAAAAAUGCCUAUUAAACUUUCUCACAGACAGUCAAAGGUUGAAAACAAAUCAGAAGUGGUCCACAUCUUGAAAAACCUCACAGCAGAUUAAGACUUUCCCCGAAAUUUCCCUGUAAAACCCGCAGUGGUAUGUCCAGUGCAGUAGAUACUGCCUGGCACAAAAGAGGAUUUGACAGUUUAACAUGUAAGUAAAAUAAGAUUAUUUUUAUGCCCCCACAAUGUGGGAGCAUAUAGCGUUGCACUUGUCAGUUCGUCCCAAAAUCUUGUGAACGCAACUCCUCUUAAACCGGAUGGCAGAUUUUGCUUAAACUUCCAGAGAUGAACAACCUUAAUGUGUAGAUGGUAGUAAAGGAAGGAAUAUUUGCUGCAACCAAAUUUAACAGAAUUAUGGCCCUUUGUUGAUUUUUUCACUAUAUACUAUGUAGAAAUUUUGUGAACGCAACUCCUCUUUAACCGGAUGGCAGAUUUUGCUUAAACUUCCAGGGAUUAACAAACUUAAUGUGUAGAUGGUAAUAA